GAUGAAGAACGUAGCGAAAUGCGAUACGUAAUGUGAAUUGCAGAAUUCAGUGAAUCAUCGAAUCUUUGAACGCACCUUGCGCCCUUUGGCUAUUCCGAAGGGCAUGCCUGUUUGAGUAUCAUGAACACCUCAACUCUCAUGGUUUGCCAUGAUGAGCUUGGACUCUGGGGGUCUUGCUGGCCUAUGGUCAGCUCCUCUCAAAUAAAUCAGCUUGCCAGUGUUUGGUGGCAUCACAGGUGUGAUAACUAUCUACGCUUGUGGUUUUCCAUCAGGUAACCUUCAGUGAUGGAGGUUCGCUGGAGCUCAUAAAUGUCCCUCCUCAGCGAGGACAGCUUUUUGAACGUUUGAUCUCAAAUCAGGUAGGACUACCCGCUGAACUUAAGCAUAUCAAUAAGCGGAGGA
rnacentral:misc_RNA from 1 species